GUUAGGAAUAUUGGACAAUGGGCGAAAGCCUGAUCCAGCCAUGCCGCGUGAACGAUGAAGGCCUUCGGGUUGUAAAGUUCUUUAGCCGAUGAUUAUAAUGACUGUAGUCGGAAAAUAAGCCCCGGCUAACUUCGUGCCAGCAGCCGCGGUAAUACGAAGGGGGCGAGCGUUAUUCGGAAUCACUGGGCGUAAAGCGUGCGUAGGCGGUUUUGUAAGUUAUGAGUGAAAGCCCAGGGCUCAACCUUGGAAUUGCUCUUAAAACUGCAAGGCUCGAAUCUCGGAGAGGAUAGCGGAAUUUCCAGUGUAGCAGUGAAAUGCGUAGAUAUUGGAAGGAACACCAGUGGCGUAAGCGGCUAUCUGGACGAGUAUUGACGCUGAGGCACGAAAGCGUGGGGAUCAAACAGGAUUAGAAACCCGGGUAGUCC
rnacentral:rRNA from 1 species